rnacentral:misc_RNA from 1 species
GAACUUUUAAAACAAUUAUCAUUAUAAUUUUGAUUUUCGAACAGCAUUUUCAUGCGGAUAUAAGCACAUGCCCAACAUACCGACUCAGAGAUAAUACAUGCAAACCCAAAACAAUAAAUGAACCACGAAUCCAGGUAUGUAAUUUCUUUCGAUUCCUAAAUUCCCAAGAGAUUAAAGCCAAAUGCUAAUAUCAAAAAUACUAGGACCAAGUUUAACAGGCUGUGUUGGCAUGUUAAAUAGAGCUCUUCAUGUUCAAAAAGUAGAACCACGUCAGCAGAGAGAGAGAGAGAGAG